GAGGGUGUAGCUCAACCAGUAGAGCACAUGCUUAGCACGCACCAGGUCCUGAGUUCAAUCCCUGGCACCUCCU
rnacentral:tRNA from 1 species